rnacentral:rRNA from 1 species
AUUGAACGCUGGCGGCAUGCCUUACACAUGCAAGUCGAACGGCAGCAUGAUCUAGCCUGCUAGAUUGAUGGCGAGUGGCGAACGGGUGAGUAAUACAUCGGAACGUGCCCUGUAGUGGGGGAUAACUAGUCGAAAGAUUAGCUAAUACCGCAUACGACCUGAGGGUGAAAGUGGGGGACCGCAAGGCCUCAUGCUAUAGGAGCGGCCGAUGUCUGAUUAGCUAGUUGGUGAGGUAAAGGCUCACCAAGGCGACGAUCAGAAGCUGGUCUGAGAGGACGAUCAGCCACACUGGGACUGAGACACGGCCCAGACUCCUACGGGAGGCAGCAGUGGGGAAUUUUGGACAAAGGGCGAAAGCCUGAUCCAGCAAUGCCGCGUGUGUGAAGAAGGCCUUCGGGUUGUAAAGCACUUUUGUCCGGAAAGAAAUGGCUCUGGUUAAUACCUGGGGUCGAUGACGGUACCGGAAGAAUAAGGACCGGCUAACUACGUG